UACUUAAAAUUACAACUUACAACUUACAACUCCCAUUAGCGCCAUGUGUCGCAUAGGGCGCGAAUGGAAGCCUUCCAUCUGAGUCUGUCUGCUGCUGCUUGUUGUGCUUCUCCCCAUGUUCUCCAUCCAAACUCUGUUCUUUCCUUAUCUACCAUUCGUCUCCAAGUUUCUUUUGGUCUUCCUACAUUUCUCUUUCCUGGUGGUGUCCAUGUCAAGGCGAUUCUACAAUCAUUCCAUGGGUCCAUCCUCAGGAUGUGACCUAUCCAACUCCAUCUCCUGAUCUUAAUGGUGUUGGUUAUGCUGCACAUGUUGGCUUUUUGUAGCAGUUCUGCGUUGGAUAUCGUAGUUGGCCAAAAUAUCUUAAAGAUUCUACGCAAGUUCCUGGUGUUGAAGGUGUUAAGUCUAUCUCCAUCUCUCUUGCUUAUCUUCCAACAUUCUGCCCCAUAUAGCAACACUGAUAUAACAUUGCUUUUAUAAAUUUUCAUUUUGGUGUUUCUACUGUAUUGGUUUGAUGUCCAUAUUUUUCUUAGCUUAUAGUAUGCUGCUCUUGCUUUUUUAAUUCUAUUCCUUAUGUCGGCUGUUGCAUUGUCGUUGGUAUCUAUGACCGAUCCAAGGUAUGUGAAGCUGUCUACUAUCUCUAUUUCUUCGUUGUUCAAUGUAAUAGGCUGGAUGUUGUUUGCCUUUACACACAUUAUUUUACUCUUUUUCUUGUUUAUUUCUAAGCCAGUUGUUUUAGCUAUCUUUUGUAUAUCAUCUGUUUUAGCUUGCAGCUGUGUUCUUGUUGCUGAUAGGAGAGCAAUAUCAUCUGCAAAAUCAAGAUCUUCUAAUACCUGUAGUCUUCCCCAGUUGAUACCACGCUUUUUCUGUGUUGUUUGCUUCAUUGUCCAAUCUAUAACCAGUAAGAAAAGGAAAUCCAGACAUUACACAAACCUUGUCUGACUCCUGAUUUAAUGUGGAACCAUUCCGAAUGUUUACCCUCAUGUUCUACUACACAACUGAAGUUAUCAUAAAAUGCUUGUACCAUCCUGAUUAUUUUACCUGGGAUUCCAUAGUUUGCCAUGAUCUUUUUUAAGGUUUCUCGAUGGAUAGUGUCAAAUGCUCUUCUGAAAGUCGAUGAAGUUGAUAAAUAGGGGGCUGUUCCAUUCAAUGCAUUGUUCUAUAAUAUUUCUAAGGAUGAAUAUUUGGUUGAUACAGCCUCGACCUCUUCGGAACCCAGCUUGUUCUUUACGUAGUAUGUUGUCAAUAGCAUCUUUAAUUCUGUUGAUGAUGAUUCUGCAGAGGACCUUCCCAGGUACAGAUAGUAAGGUUAUUCCUCUCCAGUUUUCACACUCUUCUAAAUUUCCUUUUUUUGAGAGUUUGAUUAUAAUUCCCUUUUUGCCAGUCUGUUGGUAUUUCUUCCCUGUUCCAAAUUUUGGUAAAUAAAUGGCAAAAGACUUUUGCUAUUGUGCCUACAUCAGUUUUCAAUAGUUCAGCUUGUAUGUUGUCAAUACCUGGAGCCUUACCAUUACUGAGUGCCUUUAUGCUCUUUAUUAUCUCUUCUAUGGUUGGUGGUUCAAUAUUCAUAUCGACAACAUCUGAAGGAUGAAUAUCGGCUAGUACUGGUGGAUCUUUCGCAUUUAAAAUCUCUUCAAAGUGUUCUUUCCAUCUCUCUAACUGUUCCUUCUCGUUGGUUAUAACAUGUCCCUCUUUUGACUUUACAGGUCUGUUCCCUCUCAUGCUGCUGUUGGAAAUUUUCUUACUCAGCAUAUAUAGCUUGUUCUGCUCUCCUCUAUUUGCUGCCUCUUCUGCACUUUUUGCAAUAUUAUCAAUAUAUUUUCUCUUAUCAUCUCUGGUACUAAAUUUUACCUCCUUGUUCUUAUCCUUAUAAUCUUUCUCAAGCUUUUCUUUCUGUCUUUGUGAUCUUGUAGCAUUAAUUUUUUGUUUUAUCUGUUUACGUUCUUGUAUUUUGUGGAUACUGUUGGUAGUAAUCCAUUCUGGUUGUUUUCUGUCUUUAAAUCCCAAUGUUUGCUCACCAACCUCACAUAUUGCUUGUUUAAUAUCUAUCCACUGUUCUUCUAUGCCUUCUGUUUCUCCCAAUACCUGGAAUCUGUUCCUUAACUCAAGUUUGAACUCUUGUGCAACUUUUGGUAUCUUUAGCUUAUCUGUGUCAUAUCUUUUCUUCUGUCCCUGAUUUACUCUCUGUCUACAAAGUUUAAGCUUAACUCUGGAUAUAAGUAGUUCAUGGUCACUACCAACAUCAGCACCUCUAUAUGACCGUACAUCUUCCAUAGAUCCUCUAAACCUUUUGUCAAUCGUGAUGUGAUCAAUCUGAUUCUUGAUGUUUCCGUCUGGUGACGUCCAUGUAUAUUUAUGAAUAUCUUUAUGUUGGAAUAUGCUGGAGCAAAUUACAAUGUUGUUAGUCUGACAAUAAUCCCGAAAUAGUUCUCCGUUCUCAUUGAUAACACCAUACCCAUUCUUCCCCAUUACAUCUUCAUAUCCAACAUUAUCUGAUCCUAUCUUUGCAUUCAUGUCACCCAUUACAAUUAUCAUAUCAUGUUUAUGAACUUUUGCUGUUACAUCGUUCAAGGUUUGGUAGAAUUCCUCUUUUACUUCAUCAGAAGCGUCAUUCGUUGGUGCAUAACACUGUAUUAUGGUCAACUUUAUAUGUCUAGAAAAAAAUCGAGCUGUUAUUAUUCUUUCAUUAAUAGGUUGCCAUUCCAUGAGUGUUUUUCUGUUUGCUUUUGAUAUAAUAAGUGCUACUCCAUACUCAUGUCUUUCUCUGUUUGUCCUGAGUAUAGCAUAGUCUCACCACCUCUGAGGUUGAUCUUUCCUGUUCCGGUCCAACGACAUUCACUAAUACCCAAUACAUCAAUUCCAUAGUUGUUCAUUUCAUUUACUACCUGGUAUGUCUUUCCAGGUGCAUACAUUGUUCUAACAUUCCAGCAUCCGACCUUGAUCUGUUUUCUAGGGUGAACCAAAGGUUCUCUCCUGAUGUUUGCUUCCAAUUGAUUUUGGGUUUGGCCAACAUCAUUCAUUAAACCUUCUAACUGAUUUCUGUUUUCUGGUCUCACCUCGGUAUUUCCCAUCAGAAAAGUCGUUCUUCCAUUUCGCGUUUCUGUAACUUUAAAGUUUUUUACAAGGAUAGGUUGUUGGCCUAACGCUCAAUCCCCAACCUGGAGAACCAGAGAAUCUUUACUCAAGGUUUCUUUCCUAUAGAUCCAUUGCCGACCAAGGCUGACGAGUCAAAUCUACCCGGUAUUUUAUAUCAGAGUUUUCUUCUCCUAUAUGAAUUGCCUUUCAAGGCUGACGACUUUCAUCUAGCCGGCUAUUAACCCAUAACUGGGGCAAGGUUGAUGAGUGCUAGGGCGUAUCCACACGCCGGUGGGCCUACACACUUCAUCUCUAGGGUCCUUGCUACUCCGAGAUCCUCUACAGUAAGGCCUAGGACACAAGGUCCUAGUUACCGUGUGCUGUCGCGGGGAGGCACUGUAGAAGUCUUGUUAGUGUAGAGGCUAUGUACUGGCAGGAAAGACUUACGCACUCGGCUUUCUUUUCACCUAUGAAUAUAAGCUAUCCAGCGGCAGUUUAAGAGUCU
rnacentral:lncRNA from 1 species